GCCAAAAAUCUAGCUACUUAAUCUACACUCCUCAAAUUACCAAAUAAAAUAUUCUAUCAACAUAGUAAAGAAGAUUAAAAAAUUAUUACGAGCUAUAAAUAUGUACCGCAAGGGAAGGAUGAAAUAAAAAUGAAACAAUAAAGCACAAAAAAGUAGAGACUCCCCCUCGUACCUUUUGCAUCAUGGUUUAGCAAGUCCAAUUAGGCAAAAAACCUUUAAGUCUAACCCCCCGAAACUAAGUGAGCUAUUUUAAAGUCGCUUAUUGAGCCCACCCAACUAUGUUGCAGAAUAGUGGGGUAACUUUAAAAUAGAGGUGAGACACCUAACGAACUUAGUUAUAGCUGGUUUCUCAAGAAAAGAAUUUUAGUUCCGCCCGAAGAAAUGACAUAAAUACAUUUAAAUCACCCUUAAUCUUUGGAGUAAGUUAAAUAAGGUACAGCCUAUUUGACACAGGAUACAACCUUGCCCUAAGGGUAAGACCCUAAAUAACCACUAAGUGGGCCUAACAGCAGCCACCUUUAAAAAAGCGUCAAAGCUUAAUAAUAUACUAAUUUACCUAACACAAUUAACCCCUACAAUUAUACUGAGAAAUUCUAUAACAUUAUAGAAGCUAUUAUGCUAAAACUAGUAACAAGAGGAUCAGCCUCUCUCUAAUGCAAACAUAAGUCAGAAAGAACCUAUCACUGACACUUACCAUAAAAGUAGCAACUCCCCUAGAAAACCCUACUCAAUCAAAUGUUAACCUAACACCAGAGCAUUUUAAGAAAGAUUAAAAGAAAAAGAAGGAACUCGGCAAAUGUAAGUUCCGCCUGUUUACCAAAAACAUCGCCUCUUGCACUCAUAAGAGGUCCAGCCUGCCCAGUGACCUAGUUCAACGGCCGCGGUAUCCUAACCGUGCGAAGGUAGCGUAAUCACUUGUUUUCUAAAUAAAGACUAGUAUGAAAGGCAUCACGAGAACCAAACUGUCUCCCCCUUCCAAUCAGUGAACCUAAUCUCCCCGUGAAAAAGCGGGGAUCAUCUAAUAAGACGAGAAGACCCUAUGGAGCUUUAAGCACAAUAACACCUGCUAACAAACAUUCAAAUGUUUUGCACCAUGAUUAUAUGCUUUCAGUUGGGGUGACUACGGAGAAAAACCUAUCCUCCGCAGUGAAAGGCCCUGCACCUAAACAAUAAGUUACAACUUUAAGUAUCAAUAAACUGACACCAUUGACCCAAUAUAUUGAUUAACGAACCAAGUUACCCUAGGGAUAACAGCGCAAUCCACUUCAAGAGCUCCUAUCGACAAGUGGGCUUACGACCUCGAUGUUGGAUCAGGGUAUCCCAGUGGUGCAGCCGCUACUAAAGGUUCGUUUGUUCAACGAUUAAAACCCUACGUGAUCUGAGU
rnacentral:rRNA from 1 species